rnacentral:rRNA from 1 species
GACGGAGGAUGCAAGUGUUAUCCGGAAUCACUGGGCGUAAAGCGUCUGUAGGUGGUUCGAAAAGUCCACUGUUAAAAAUUGAGGCUUAACUUCAAAGAUGCCGUGGAAACUUUCAAACUAGAGUAUGGUAGGGGUAGAGGGAAUUUCCAGUGGAGCGGUGAAAUGCGUAGAUAUUGGAAAGACCACCGAUGGCGAAGGCACUCUACUGGGCCAUUACUGACACUGAGACACGAAAGCGUGGGUAGCAAACAGG